UCCGAGUUGACCCCGGCGGUCUCCCGUGAGUCCCCAACCCUCCGAAGAGGUUGCUGGCAACACGGGACAAGGGUUGCGCUCGUUGCGGGACUUAACCCAACAUCUCACGACACGAGCUGACGACAGCCAUGCAGCACCUGUCACCGGUCCAGCCGAACUGAAGGAAUCCAUCUCUGGAAACCGCGACCGGGAUGUCAAGGGCUGGUAAGGUUCUGCGCGUUGCUACGAAUUAAACCACAUGCUCCACCGCUUGUGCGGGCCCCCGUCAAUUCCUUUAUGUUUUAGUCUUGCGACCGUACUCCACAGGCGGGAUGCUUAACGCGUUAGCUUCGCUACUACACGGGUCGAUACGUUUAACAGCUAGCAUCCAUCGUUUACGGCGUGGACUAC
rnacentral:misc_RNA from 1 species